UACAGAGGGGGCAAGCGUUAUUCGGAAUUAUUGGGCGUAAAGGGCGCGUAGGCGGCCUGGCAAGUGGAAGGUGAAAUCCCUCGGCUUAACCGAGGAACUGCCCUCCAAACUGCUUGGCUUGAGACCGGGAGAGGUGAGUGGAAUUCCCAGUGUAGCGGUGGAAUGCGUAGAGAUCGGGAAGAACAUCAGUGGCGAAGGCGGCCUGCUGGGCUGUUGCUGACGCUGAGGCGCGACAGCGUGGGGAGCAAACAGG
rnacentral:rRNA from 1 species